AUGUCACGGCUGCUGUCCGUGUGUCCCCACCCUUGUUUGUGUCCGUCUGUCCCCACCCCGUCCUUAAGCCCCACCCGCGUCCCUCCCGUCUCCCCGCCCCGCUUUUCCCUCCGCCGUCGGUUUCGCUGUCGGUGCCGAACUUCGCUCCGGUUCCGGUGCCGGUUCCGAUGUCCAACCCGACAUCCGCUCCGGUCCCGAUCCCGGCGCCGAAGCCCGCCCCGGUUCCGGUCCCGGUCCCGAUUCCGACGUCCUUCCCGACAUCCGCUCCGCUGCCGGUCCCGGAUCCGAAGCUCCCCCCGGUCCCGAAGUCUUCCCGGGUUCCGGUUCCGAAGUCCUCCCCGGCGUCCGCUCCGCUGUUCGUCCGGGUUCCGUCCUCGGUCCCGGUGCCGAAGUCCUUCUCGACGUCCAGCCCGGUGUCCGUACCGGUUCCGAAGCCCGCCCCGGUCCCGGUUCCGAACCUCUCCCCGACAUCCAUCCCGAGCCCGUCCCCGGUUCCGGUUCGCGUUCCGGUUCUGCCGUCCCCCAUCCAGCAGCUGCUGGACGCAUCGCUGUGCGCCGCCUGCGGGCUUCCGGUUCGGGAUCCGGUUCUGCUCAGCUGCGAGCACCGCUGCUGCCGCCGCUGCCUCCUGGCCGCCGCGUCCGAUCUGUCCGUCCCGUCUGUUCUGUCUGUCCCGUCUGUUCUGUCCGUCCCGUCCGUUCUGUCCGUCCCGUCCGAUCUGUCCGUCCCGUCCGAUCCCGUCUGUCCCGUCUGCCUCGUCCGUUCUGUCCGUCCCGUCCGAUCUGUCUGCUCUGUCCGUCCCGUCCGUUCUGUCCGUCCCGUCCGAUCCGUCUGUCCCGUCUGCCUCGUCCGUUCUGUCUGUCCCGUCCGUUCUGUCCGUCCCGUCUGAUCUGUCCAAUCUGUCCGUUCCGUCUGUCCCGUCUGUUCUGUCCGUCCCGUCCGUUCUGUCUGUCCCUUCCACCCCGUCCGUCCCGUCCGACCCAUCCAUCCCUUCCGUCCCGUCCACCCUGUCCGUCCCUUCUGUCCCUUCCACCCCGUCCGUCCCGUCUGUUCUGUCCGUCCCGUCCGUCCCGUCCGCCCCUCCCGCCCCUCCCGGCCCGGCGGCGUUCCGGUGCCCGCGGUGCC
rnacentral:lncRNA from 1 species